GAAAUGCGAUAAGUAGUGUGAAUUGCAGAAUUCAGUGAAUCAUCGAAUCUUUGAACGCACAUUGCGCCCUAUGGUAUUCCGUAGGGCAUGCCUGUUCGAGCGUCAUUUACACCUUCAAGCCUUGCUUGGUGUUGGGUGACUGUGGCCCCUUUGGGGCCACUCGCCUUAAAGUCAUUGGCGGCCGGUUCGUUGGCUUUGUAGCGCAGCACAAUUGCGUCCUCGAAGCCGCUGGACCAGCUCCCAGAAGCUAAUUUUAAAUGUUUGACCUCGAAUCAAGUAGGGAUACCCGCUGAACUUAAGC
rnacentral:misc_RNA from 1 species